rnacentral:ncRNA from 17 species
UACUGAAUAACAAUGCAAACAUAAACAUACAACACAACAUGGAAAAAUUUACCUUACUCCGAUUAUCUCUGUUAUCGUAUUUUGUGCGAGGAUAAAGAUUGAUUGGAAAAAGUAAAUGGACUAUCCACAUUCUUGCCCGCACCUUAAAAUGCGGGCUUUUUUUAUCAAAU